rnacentral:rRNA from 1 species
AUUGAACGCUGGCGGCAGGCCUAACACAUGCAAGUCGAGCGGAUGAAGGGAGCUUGCUCCUGGAUUCAGCGGCGGACGGGUGAGUAAUGCCUAGGAAUCUGCCUGGUAGUGGGGGAUAACGUCCGGAAACGGGCGCUAAUACCGCAUACGUCCUGAGGGAGAAAGUGGGGGAUCUUCGGACCUCACGCUAUCAGAUGAGCCUAGGUCGGAUUAGCUAGUUGGUGGGGUAAAGGCCUACCAAGGCGACGAUCCGUAACUGGUCUGAGAGGAUGAUCAGUCACACGGGAACUGAGACACGGUCCAGACUCCUACGGGAGGCAGCAGUGGGGAAUAUUGGACAAUGGGCGAAAGCCUGAUCCAGCCAGGCCGCGUGUGUGAAGAAGGUCUUCGGAUUGUAAAGCACGUUAAGUUGGGAGGAAGGGCAGUAAGUUAAUACCUUGCUGUUUUGACGUUACCAACAGAAUAAGCACCGGCUAACUUCGUG